rnacentral:rRNA from 1 species
GUGGGGAAUCUUGCGCAAUGGGCGAAAGCCUGACGCAGCCAUGCCGCGUGAAUGAUGAAGGUCUUAGGAUUGUAAAAUUCUUUCACCGGGGACGAUAAUGACGGUACCCGGAGAAGAAGCUCCGGCUAACUUCGUGCCAGCAGCCGCGGUAAUACGAAAGGGGGCUAGCGUUGCUCGGAAUUACUGGGCGUAAAGGGCGCGUAGGCGGACAGCUUAGUCAGAGGUGAAAGCCCAGGGCUCAACCUUGGAAUUGCCUUUGAUACUGGCUGUCUUGAGUUUGGGAGAGGUGAGUGGAACUCCGAGUGUAGAGGUGAAAUUCGUAGAUAUUCGGAAGAACACCAGUGGCGAAGGCGACUCACUGGCCCAAUACUGACGCUGAGGCGCGAAAGCGUGGGGAGCAAACAGGAUUAGAUACCCUAGUAGUCC